rnacentral:rRNA from 1 species
CGGCUCCUACGGGGGGCAGCAGUGAGGAAUAUUGGUCAAUGGGCGAGAGCCUGAACCAGCCAAGUCGCGUGAGGGAGUACUGCCCUAUGGGUUGUAAACCUCUUUUGUCGGGGAGCAAAAGCCGGACGUGUCCGGCUGUGAGAGUACCCGAAGAAAAAGCACCGGCUAACUCCGUGCCAGCAGCCGCGGUAAUCCGGAGGAGGCGAGCGUUAUCCGGAUUUAUUGGGUUUAAAGGGGG